GAGUUCCCUACAAUGCGUGCAACUAUUGAAUAUUUGUAUUAGUGUUUGAAUUGACUCAGCUAGUUUAAAUUGAAUGCAAGAAUCUUGGACUAAUCCCCCUUUGGGCAUUCAUGAAAGAAUGUUUUCUCAUUGGAAGGGGCAGAUUUGGAAUUUGUGACCUCCAUUAAAAGACUUGUAACUCCAGACUGAAACUAUUUACACAUAACAACAUAGAUUAAAAUACAAGACAUCAGAUGCAGAUAUGAAUACAAUGCUAUAAAAAUGUAU
rnacentral:misc_RNA from 1 species